rfam:Pseudomonas sp. G5(2012) strain G5 PG5_14, whole genome shotgun sequence.
GAAGUUAUCGUCUUCAGCACUUAGUAACGCAUUAAUGAAGUUGGGGGGAAUGUCGGCGAAACGGAUCGGUGUACGGCGCAUUUCGCCAAAUUCUGCGAUCAACUUGUUGUCGCUGCUGUAGACCCGCAGGGGAAUCUGCAACUGGAUGCUUCUCAGUGCCUCAACGGAGGGCAAUCCAGGACUAAGGUAAAGAAACGCCCCACUCAGACCCAGAAGCAGUCCGCAGAAUACGGCGACGAUGGACCAACCGAAAAAUUUCAGCAGACGAAUCAAGGCUUUUGGACAUCCAGGGCAA